rnacentral:tmRNA from 1 species
GGGGGCGACAUGGCUUCGACGUGGGUAGCAAAACCUUAAGCGCAUGCCGAGGACAGUACACCUCGUAAAAUCUACUGAAACUUAAGUAUUCGCAAAUGACGAAAACUACUCAAUGGCUUUAGCUGCUUAAACACAGCACCAUUCCUUUGACCAUCUGUGCUUAUGCGGGUGGAGUUCAGUUCGCUGAACGCUCAGAGGUCAUUUAC